rnacentral:rRNA from 1 species
CAUGUAGGCGGAUUAAUAAGUUUGAAGUGAAAUCCUAUAGCUUAACUAUAGAACUGCUUUGAAAACUGUUAAUCUAGAAUGUGGGAGAGGUAGAUGGAAUUUCUGGUGUAGGGGUAAAAUCCGUAGAGAUCAGAAGGAAUACCGAUUGCGAAGGCGAUCUACUGGAACAUUAUUGACGCUGAGGCGCGAAAGCGUGGGGAGCAAACA